AUAUGGCGCCAAAAGAGUUUUCAAGCUGAUGAAGAGACGCGCGUCUUCUUCUUCUUCUUCUUCUUCUUCUUCUCCUCCUCGAAAGACGAGACCCGCGAGACUAGAUUUAUUGUAUUUCUAGUGCGGAGAGCCGCGCGUGUUAGACGAGAGGAAGCGAGGCGCCGGGGGAGAGCUNNNNNNNNNNCACCGGUUACCGGAGCGCCGGGGGAGAGCUCACCGGUUACCGGAGCGCCGGGGGAGAGCUCACCGGUUACCGGAGCGCCGGGGGAGAGCUCACCGGUUACCGGGGCGGAAACCUCAUUUUUGUUUUUUUCCCCCCCCCCCCCCCCGCCCGCCCCCCCCCCCCCCCCCCCAACCUUUUCCUCACCGGCACCGGAGGGAGACGCCGUCGGAUUGUUUUAUAUUUAUUUGGCCAAAUUCGGGCCGUUUAUUCUUUUCUUUUCCCUUUUUUUUGGAAGAUGCGACGCGCUUCACAGUGAGCGGCACGCGGCGAAGGACCUCCACCUCCAACACCACCCUCAACACCACCACCUCCACCUUCAACACCACCCUCAACUCCACCUCCAGCACCACCACCUCCACCUCCAACACCACCCUCAACUCCACCUCCAGCACCACCACCUCCACCUUCAACUCCACCUCCUCCACCUCCACCUCCAGCACCACCACCUCCAACCCCACCUCCUCCUCCAACACCACCUCCACCUCCAACACCACCCUCAACUCCACCUCCUCCAACCCCACCUUCUCCAACAGCACCUCCACCACCUCCACCUGCGAGGUGUUGUUGUUGAUCGCUUCUGGAUAUUCUUUAAUUCCGCAUUCGGGUUCAUCUCCCGGUUCUCCUGCAGAAGCCGACGCGCUGUCAGCGCGGGGGAGGAGGGGGAGGGAAGGGGGGAGGAGGGGGGCGGUCCUGUCACCCAAACGUGGAAGUCGGGGCUGCUUAGCAGCACUGGCAGGGCAGCGAGUGGGCAAACCGAACCGCUGAACCGCCUCCGUGGAAAGUACAUG
ensembl:lncRNA